rnacentral:piRNA from 1 species
AGAUUUUAGAAUAUAGGGAUUUAGAAAACC